CUUUUUAACAGAAAGAAGUCUCUAACUUUUGAAGUUAUAUUGUUUAUUACAGCUCUUGAGAUGUACUUGUUCUGGCUGGGAAUAUGGAUAGGAAUUCUCUGCUUCCUUUUGCCGUCCAGGGCUCGACAUAGGUUUCUUGGAUUAAAGGACAUUUCAUACCAACUCAAUGGAACAUCAAGCCAGCAAUUAGUGGAUGGGAGUAGACCCAACCAAGAGACUGCUCUGUCCUUAGCCGAUGCUUGGCUGGGGAACACCCAAAUUGAACGCUGCCUGAGGAAGAGCUAUGUUAGUGGCUGCUAUGCUGUUGCUGGGACCUCCCCCAACCUAGGUUAAGAUAAAAACUCUGAGCUCUGAGACCUGGGACCCUGGUUCGCACUGGAACUAUGAGAUCACUAACAGGAAUCGCUCUUCUCCUAACUUUAGGUAUUAUGAGUGAUGCUAAGACCACACAGCCAAAUGCAAUGGAGAGUACUGAAGAAGAGCCUGUCCACCUGCCUUGUAACCACUCCACAAUCAGUGGAAAUGAGUAUAUAUAUUGGUAUCAACAGAUUCCCAGCCAGGGUCCAGAGUACAUGAUUCGUGGUCUAAAAGACAAUGUGACUGAUGGAAAGGCCACUCUGAUCAUCGCAGUAGCUAGAGUCCAGUACCUUGAUUCUGCUGCGGGUCACCCUGGGAGAUGCUGGUGUAUACUACUGCAUCCUGAGAGAGGCACACUAGCACAGGUGGGGCCGCCCCCAUACACCAUCUGUCUGAUGGGGGAAGGGAAGCAGCAGACGUCAUCGCCAGAGGCCACCGCACAAGAAUGACCAGGAGCCCAGUAGAAGUGAAGUAAAGGAGAAAAGGGGAAAGAGUAUAGUGAAGAUAGUGCGGGAGUCAAAGAGGAAAGGAUAGAAGGAACAAAGAGGAUGAGGAUGAAGAGCUUACAUUAUCAAAGGGACAGACUAAAAAGCUCGCAAGGAAACUAAGGUACACAAUUGUAAACCUGCAAUAAAGGGAAAAGGAGAUGAGAAUUUGCCAUAGUUCUUUGUCUUAAUCAAAUGUUGCUUUCUAUAUAGGUCUCCCUGAAAUAGGUGAGAACAACCACGGGGUUGUCUCAAAGACUUUCUUCAUUCAGACCCUAAGAGGGGCCCAGGCUCUGGAUCUUGCAUCAUAUUAACCCUUCCGACUCCUCAAACAUGGGAAUGAAUUUCAGAAACUGAUUCAUUCGCCCUUGAAAAAAAGUUGCUUAUCUGUGGCACACACAUCACUGGGAUACAGACGAUUUGGGGGAAGGGAUAAAUAAAGGACAAAUAUUUGGAAUUUAAUCUCAUUUUUAGAAUUUAUGUUGAAAUAUGAUUAGUACACACCAAAAAAACCACACAAAUCUUUUCUUAUUGCAAAAGACUCAAGUUAUUACAUAAGGUUGUAAAGUCAAGCCUGAAAGCCCAAUCUGACUUUCCCCGCCUCCUCUCCGUUUCCUUUUCAAUACCUGUGAUAACCCAUUUUGGCAGUUUGGAGUAUGUCUUGACAAUCACAGGCUUUUUCAUUUAUAAGGGUGCUCACAUAA